GGCUGACUCAUCGCCGUGCAGCCGGCAACCACCGCGGCAAGUGCGGGCCCCUGCUGCUCCCGCACAGCUAUCUGUGUCAGCCGGGGCUAUUUCCAGCUCUCGCCGCGCUCCCGGCUCCGCCGAGAGCUGUCAGCAGAACCUUCAGCACGGGAGAACUGCUACAGAAUUUCACUGGAAAAACCACAUUAAUCAUCUCAGCACCGCCUCCCUGGCCUUUGUCACAGUUUGGUGCCCCAGCGCCGGCUUUAAAAGCAUUAUUUAUUUUUAAUAAAAGCUGA